rnacentral:rRNA from 1 species
GUAGUGGCUUACCAAGGUGAUAACGGGUAACGGGGAAUCAGGGUUCGAUUCCGGAGAGGGAGCCUGAGAAACGGCUACCACAUCCAAGGAUGGCAGCAGGCGCGCAAAUUACCCAAUCCAGACACUGGGAGGUGGUGACGAGAAAUACCAGGUCGUUCCCAAAAGGAUUCGACACUGGAAUGAGUGCAAUUUAAAAAUUUCAAUGAGUAACAACUGGAGGGCAAGUCUGGUGCCAGCAGCCGCGGUAAUUCCAGCUCCAGUAGUGUAUCCAAACGUUGCUGCGGUUAAAACGCUCGUAGUUGGACAAGAGAGUAGCUUGGUGCGGGCGGGGAGUGUUUUUACUUUAUGUGUAAUUCUUUUGGUGUGCAGAUCUGUCGUAAGAUGGGUUUGUGCAUUGAUUGGAUCUUGAGCAUAUUUGUAUCGCUUGUCGACCAUGCUGCCAGGCUACUUGUAAUGUUUCGUGAGAAUGUUACAUGAUCUUUAUUGUAUUGUGUAAUGUGUCUUACGUAGUGUGCCUUGAAUAAAUCAGAGUGCUCAAAGCAAGCUAUAGCUUGAAUGUUAAUAGCAUGGAACGAAUGUUUAGUGGAAGUGAGCUUGUUGAAUUCACUUGUGGGUUCGAUGGUUCACAGCACCAACCACGAAGCGGAGCAUUGGUUGCCGACUUCGGGUGAGGAUUAAGAGGGGCAUUUGGGGGCAUUAGUAUUUGGCCGCGAGAGGUGAAAUUCUUGGACCGGCUAAGGACUAACAAGUGCGAAAGCAUUUGCCAAGUAUGUUCCCUUUAAUCAAGAACGAAAGUGAGAGGUUCGAAGACGAUCAGAUACCGUCCUAGUUCUCACCGUAAACGAUGCCAACCCGGGAUCAGUUCGGAUGCACACCAAUUGAUCCAGGUUGGUCCCCCUGGGAAACCUUGAGUUUUUAGGUUCCGGGGGGAGUAUGGUUGCAAGGCUGAAACUUAAAGGAAUUGACGGAAGGGCACCACCAGGGGUGGAGCCUGCGGCUUAAUUUGACUCAACACGGGAAAACUCACCUGGUCCGGACAUCGAUAGGAUUGACAGGCUAAAGAUCUUUCAUGAUACGGUGGGUGGUGGUGCAUGGCCGUUCUUAGUUCGUGGAGCGAUCUGUCAGGUUUAUUCCGGUAACGAACGAGACCAUGUUCUUCAUUUGGGGAGCUGGAGGACAAGUAGUAAUGGUCGUAGUUUGCAGUUUGUGUUGUAUUUCGGUGCAAUGCAAGCUGUUGGCUAUGAUUGGUUCUUCUUGAUACUCUGGUGUACGUGCAGCAAUGUGCGUCCCUAUGGAGAGACAGCCGGAUUGUAAGCCGGAGGAAGCGUGGCAAUAACAGGUCUGUGAUG